UCGGGCGUAGUGCAGCCUGGUAGCGUACCUGCACGGGGUGCAGGCGGUCGCGAGUUCGAAUCUCGCCGCCCCGG
rnacentral:tRNA from 1 species